GACGAACGCUGGCGGCGUGCCUAAUACAUGCAAGUCGAACGCUUCUUUCCUCCCGAGUGCUUGCACUCAAUUGGAAAGAGGAGUGGCGGACGGGUGAGUAACACGUGGGUAACCUACCCAUCAGAGGGGGAUAACACUUGGAAACAGGUGCUAAUACCGCAUAACAGUUUAUGCCGCAUGGCAUAAGAGUGAAAGGCGCUUUCGGGUGUCGCUGAUGGAUGGACCCGCGGUGCAUUAGCUAGUUGGUGAGGUAACGGCUCACCAAGGCCACGAUGCAUAGCCGACCUGAGAGGGUGAUCGGCCACACUGGGACUGAGACACGGCCCAGACUCCUACGGGGGGCAGCAGUAGGGAAUCUUCGGCAAUGGACGAAAGUCUGACCGAGCAACGCCGCGUGAGUGAAGAAGGUUUUCGGAUCGUAAAACUCCGUUGUUAGAGAAGAACAAGGACGUUAGUAACUGAACGUCCCCUGACGGUAUCUAACCAGAAAGCCACGGCUAACUACGUG
rnacentral:rRNA from 1 species